ACGGAGGUGGCAAGCGUUGUUCGGAUUUACUGGGCGUAAAGGGCGCGUAGGCGGCCACCGCAAGUCGGUUGUGAAAUCUCCGGGCUUAACCCGGAAAGGUCAAUCGAUACUGCGGGGCUAGAGUGCAGAAGGGGCAACUGGAAUUCUCGGUGUAGCGGUGAAAUGCGUAGAUAUCGAGAGGAACACCUGCGGCGAAGGCGGGUUGCUGGGCUGACACUGACGCUAAAGCGCGAAAGCUAGGGGAGCAAACGGGA
rnacentral:rRNA from 1 species